AUGAGAGACCCGUGCCCGAUCCCUUACCUCAUCCCGUCGACCCUCUCCCUCUCGUCUCCUAGCGCCGCCGCACGCUUCACACUAGGGAGAAGAGCUCUCGUGCUCGACGCCACGGGCGCACCAAGGGCGCCUCCCAUGACCGCCGUUGCCUGCUGCUGCCCUCCGCAUUCUCCUGUGCAUUGCCGCCAUCCAAGACCAGCAGGACGCCGCCGUAGCGCCGACCAGCGCCGGCCUCGACUUCAUCCUGCCCGUGACUUUCCUUUCGCCCCUGCCUUUGUCGUGCGAGAACGUGAGGAAGACGACCGGCGCCAAGUCCUGCUCGAGCACCCGCCUGCGUUGUUGCGUCGGUGCACCGCGUCGCUGCUCGUUAACUGCCAAGACCGUCUCCGUGGAUUUGUGCCAAGUACCACUACCGCCAAGUUCUACUCCGUACUGGUACGACUACACCGGAUGAUGCGACAAGCCCUGACAACGUGGACAUUUACUACGUCAAGACCGGACCGACAAGUACCCCAACAAUUGUGUACAACGACCGUCGUCGAAGACCCGGGUAGCAAAACGUCAUGUACCUAUGACCGAAGAACGUCAUGUACCUCUCCGAAAAACGAACAUGAACCACUACGUCCGGAGACCUCGAACCCGUCAAGUCCGACAACGAUUGUGUGCAACUACCAACGACGUGCAUGUUGCCAAGUACCCUCUCCGGGUCGUCAUGUUCGACUACCAAUAAACAUGUACCACUACCAUCGCCGAGAUCGCGAGAACCUCUACCGUCGACCCUAG
rnacentral:rRNA from 1 species